rnacentral:lncRNA from 1 species
GUUGAACAGCUGCUCUGCAAGCUCCCACCCUGUGGAGUGUACUUUGAUCUUCAAUAAAUCUUUGCUUUCAUUGCUUCAUUCUUUCAUUGCUUUGCUGUGCAUUCUAUCUAAUUCUUUGUUCAAAAUGCCAAGAACCUGGACAAUUUGCAGUCAAGACCCUCCACCGGGAUAUGAACUUCCAAUUAUAUCAUUGGACUUGACUACUCCAUUUCUUUCCACAUUUAAAAAUCAAUCAGGGAGAAGCUAUUUUGAGAACUUAACACAAUAUUUAACAUGGGAUUUCUGAAUGAAGACAGUUUAUGGAUGAAUAAGGCACUCUCUUACCAAGUGAGUGGUUGGACCAAGACAGUGGCUCGAGAUUGAAACAGAACACGAUGGAGCUGGAAGUUAUAGUUCAGAGAUCAUCAGGAAUCAGAGUCAAAUCAUUAACUAGUGAUUAUGUGCCACACAAGAAAUCCUCUCUGGGUUAGAAAUCUUAAAAUAAGAAGCUGUUAUAUACAUUUGUCGAGAUAAAAUUAUUGAUUGGUAUUUAUAAGACUUUGAUUUCAU